CUGGUUUACAGAGUGCGGGAGGAGGGGAGCAGACCGAGCAGUCUCAGCCCCUGGCAGCUGAACAGUUGCUGAAAAGCAUUUGUGUUUCUCAGGAACCUUACUUGGGAAACAUUUCCAGAGCAGCAUUGGAGUGGGAGAGGAAAGCUUGAAAGAGCAAAGACUUCAACACAAUGGAAACACAUUUUCUGACUGAAACAUUAUCUUUAAACAAAGGAAUUUUGUUUCUGCGAUUGGAGUCAUACAGCAUGGAAACUGGUCCAUCAGCUUAACUUGUCCAUGCUGACCAAGAUGCCCCAUCUAAACCAGCCAUUUAAUUGUCCUGAUCUCAAUUAUUGUAGAGGAAAUAAGCUGUCAGUUUACAUGCAUCCUGUAGUUCUUCAUGGAAGUCCGCAGUUGGCCCAAAAACUGAAGAAUCUGUGCACUCAUGAACAAACAUCUGUAGAUUUAAUUAUGUCUCAUGCCAAAUGACAUUGAAUAAACUACUCUGAAAUUAAA